GCGGCCAUACCCGGCUGAAUGCGGCAUCCAGCUCCAUUCCGAACCUGGAAAUUAAGCAGUCGCGGGCUGCAUCAGUACUGGGCUGGGUGACUUCGGGAACGUGUAGUGUCGCUUCCU